ACGUCCCUAGUUCGGAUUGUAGGCUGAAACUCGCCUACAUGAAGCUGGAAUUGCUAGUAAUCACAGGUCAGCAUACUGCCGUGAAUACGUUCCCGGGCCUUGUACACACCGCCCGUCACACCAUGAGAGUUGGGAAUACCCGAAGCCUGUGAGCUAACUUUUAGAGGCAGCAGUCGAAGGUAGAAUCAAUGAUUGGGGUGAAGUCGUAACAAGGUACC
rnacentral:rRNA from 1 species